rnacentral:rRNA from 1 species
CGCAUCUGUGCAUGCAGCAUAUCAAUAAGCGGAGGAAAAGAAACUAACAAGGAUUCCCCUAGUAACGGCGAGUGAAGCGGGAAGAGCUCAAAUUUGAAAUCUUAAAGGGUUUCCCUUUACGAAUUGUAGUUUAAAGAAGUGUUUUCUGUUGAGGUUUUGGUAAAAGUUCUUUGGAAUAGGACAUCAUAGAGGGUGAGAAUCCCGUAUUUGACCUUUACUUUCAACUUUGUGAUACACUUUCAAAGAGUCGGAUUGUUUGGGAAUGCAGUCCAAAAUGGGUGGUAAAUUUCAUCUAAAGCUAAAUAUUGGCGAGAGACCGAUAGCGAACAGGUACCGUGAGGGAAAGAUGAAAAGAACAUUGAAAAGAGAGUUAAACAGUACGUGAAAUUGUCAAAAGGGAAGCGUUUGACACCAGUGUUGUUUUUCUGAAAAUCAAUUAAAGAACUGUUUAUGCUAAGUUGUUUAGACUUUAUCAGCUAACUGUUUAGUUUUGAGCUUUUCUUUAAUGCACUUUUCAGUUAACAAGUCAACAUCAAUUUCUUUUGCUGUAAAAAAGCUUGAGGAAGGUGGCUUGAGAUUCGUCUUAAGUGUUUAUAGCCUCUUGCCUAUGCAGUCGGAGAGAUUGAGGUCUGCAGCGUAGAUCCUUCGGGGCUAAAUGCAUUUGUGCUAAGUUAUAACAUUUUAUAGACAACUUGUUGACUAUGAUUUGUCUUGUAGCUUACUCGCUUAUGUUAUUUUACCUACGCUUAGGAUGUUGAACGCGCACAGAGUCUC